CAACAACAACAACAAUAACCAAAGUGGGAAACAAAUAUCUCGGGAAAAAAAAUAAUUGAAAAAAAUGAUAAAUAGAAAAUAAAUAAGUAAAGAAAAUGACGAAAAGCAAAGAAAACAUAAGACUGUGGUGGGGAGACUAUGAUAUUUGCAACGCCCCCUGCCCCGUCCCCCUCCCCACCCCCCUUACCCUCCCAUGCCCCUCCUCCUCCCCAUCCCCCAACGAGGACCUACUGGAGGGGUCGUACAGGUCCUGGGGGGAGUGGGGCGAGUGGGAGGGGGUGCUGGAGGAGGUGGUGGACGGGGUAGUGGAGAGAGGUGGUGGUGGUGGUGGUGGUGGUGGUAGUAGUGGUGGUGGUGGUGGUGGUGGUUGCAAUCCUCUUCUUUGCUUGUCAUCAUCAUCAUCAUUACUAGCAGCGUUGUCCUUGUCAGGAUCGCCACGUUUCCGCCGCCGCGUGGAGGGUCACUGGUCCUCUCUCGUCACCAGAUGGCGCGCCCUCGGCUCCCCUGCCCGCCACUCUGUCACGCCUACGCCAGACCACGAGGGGCUGGUGGGUGGCGAGGGUGUGGGAGGGCGUGUACACAUGCUUCGGAGGGACACGCACGCCCAUCACCACCACAACGCCUCCAGCACCACCUCCAGCAGCAGCAGCGGGCGUGCGGGGAGUGGUAACGGCCCGCUGCACGCCCUCAGGAGUAAAUUCGGCCGUGGGAGGUCUCGUCACGCCCGCGCCCUGUCGCUGUGCGGCCCGGAGGAGGAGCUGCCCAACGCCGCGUGGGUGGACUCGCGGGCGGUGCUGGAGUGGGCGCGGCGGUGCGGGGACGAGGAGGACUCUGGUCUGACGGGCAGUGACGAGGGAGAGGACGGCCCCACUUCCUCCUCCCCAUCAUCCUCCUCCUCUUCCUCCUCCUCCUCCUCCUGCAGGGACGAAGCGUUCAGUGAGACCUGCAGCGACACAGUACCCGGCACGCCGCCCACGCCUGCCCAGACGCAGGUGCCGCCGCCCACGCCCAGGCAUGCCGCCACCACCGCCCACACGCCCGCACAACCCAGGAUUGUAGCGGAUCACGUGAUUAAGAUGCACACCCAUGACCCGCACGCCCACAAUGCUGUAGUGGGGCGGCGGUACCAGAAGACCACGCCCACACACCCGCCUCACCCGCCCCACCCACUGCCUCCGCACUCAGUCAUCCCUCCGCGGCCUGGUGGGCGUGGGCGUGCCUCCUCCUGCGUGGAUUCUUGUAUAUGGGAGGAGCCACCCACUCUAGACCCACCCAUGCACCCCCACCCUACUCGCUCCCCCGUCACGCCCACCACAGUCACCACCACCCACGCCACCUCCACUCUUGACCGCCACAAGCCGCCACGCCCAUCGCAGACAACGCCCACGACUCAGACGUUAGGGAGAGGGGGUCUGCGCGCCCUCACAGCAGCCGCGGAGGAGAGAAAGGCGCGGCAGGGGGGCGGCUUCUCCCCUGUGAAGACGCCCACCUCCUCCCCGUCUUCCUCCGCCCACACACCCACGAGUCAACCGCCCACUGAGGAGGAGAAGGGCGACAGUUCCCCGCAGCAGCCAAGUUUCUGCACGUUGCCGCGGCACAAGAGCGAGGUCACCUUUCAGAUCCUGACGGUGGUGUUUCACAAAGGGCCCGGCCACCGCUCCCUCGGCUUCAGCAUCGUGGGCGGCACUGACUCCCCCAAGGGCUCCAUGGGUAUCUUUGUGAAGACAGUAUUCCCCCAGGGGCAGGCGGCGUCCUCAGGGGCACUGCAGGAAGGUGACGAGAUCCUGGCCAUCAACGGCGAGGCGCUGCACGGGGCGUCUCACCGCGCUGCCAUCGCCGCCUUCAAGCAGAUCAAGACUGGCCAGGUGGUGCUGCAUAUCGGCCGCCGCAGACGCAGGAAGGUAGCCGCGUCCUCGCCCCUGCCGCCCAACCCCGUCCCUAUCCACGCUCCUGUCUCCGCCCACGCCCCUCUGCAGGAGUAAUGGGGCGUGGGUGGUGUAGGAGUCAAUGGAUAUUUUCUUCAUUCUAUUUUUUUUUUUAUUAUUAUUUUUUUUAGCCCUUCCUCGCUGCUGUGUUCUCUGUCUGUGGUCUUGUUCUUGAUCUUGGUCUUCUCGGUGUCCUUGUUUUUCUUGUUCUUGUUUCUGUUAUAUUCUUCUUGUUUUCCCCUUCUUGUUCUUCUUGUUCGUCUUGUUCUUCUUCAGCAGCAUCAGCUCUGUCUAGUGAUUUAAAAGUAAUAUUUUUUUACCUGCUAUGGCCACUACUACUACUACUACUACUACUACUACUACUACUACUACUACUACUACUACUACUACUACUACUACGUCAAUAAUAAUGUGUAAAUGUUUUUUUUUCAUAUACGUGUGUGUACGUAUGUAUACCAACUAUUAUUAUUAUUAUUAUUAUUAUUAUUAUUAUUAUUAUUAUUAUUAUUAUUUGAAUGUGCACUAGUGAUUAAUUCAUUUGUAAAUAUGUGCAGUGCGAAAUUGCGUAUACACACACACACACACACACACACACACACACACACACACACACACACACACACACACACACACACACACACACACACACACACACACACACACACACACACACACACACCAGCCAUCCAGCCAGCCAUCCAGAGGAGAUGUGGUUUAGCUCUUUGAUGGCUCUACUCUUACCUAACACUUAUUGAGUCAGGGUGUGGGGGAGGGGAACAAGAUGGCCGAGGGAGGGAAGAAGGAGAAGUGGGGGUGUGGGUUGCCUACUUUCACACCUCAAGAGAAAUAGUUGCAUGUGUGAUGAGACAAGAAAUUUCUCAAACGUUGCUUCAUUUAUUUUUUAUUUCUUGUAAGGACUAUUAGCAUUUCAUUUGGGCCAUUUUAUUAUUAUUAUUAUUAUUUAUUAUUAUUAUUAUUAUUAUUAUUAUUUUCAUGUGUAGAGAGUUUGUGUUUUUGCUGUCCUUGGCCAGUAUACUUUGCUUGAUAGAGAAAAAAAAAGAAAAAAAACGAAUAAAUGAAGUAAAUAAAGCAUCAGAUAAGAAGAAAGUAAGUCUUAUGGGGGACUGGCAAUUGAGAUAACAUUUUCUUUAUCUUUUCUUUCUCUUUUCUUUUCUUUCUCUAUUUUGUUUUCUCGUGAUUUUGUUGACCUUGGCAUAAGAAAAGAAAAGAAUAGCAGGUGACAAAAAAAAAAAGCCUUGCCAAUAUUCAUACCCGGAAUAAAUAUCCAUACAGUGAAUUUGGCAUCCCGUUUUCUUUCAGUUGAGAGAGAGAGAGAGAGAGAGAGAGAGAGAGAGAGAGAGAGAGAGAGAGACAAACAUUUAACUCUUGGAAUGCCACAGCUGUGUUAUAAUCCUGAGUUUACUAUGACACUAAUACUUUCAAAAGGCUCUGUGUAGUUGAAAAGUUACUCGGGUUUUUAAGGAUAUUUUUUGCAAUUUUAGUGACAGAUUAACAAGAUUUCUACAUUAUAAACUGGAAACACUCUUACGAACCCAACUUAUCAUCACUAACUUUUGAAAACAGUUGUGGUGAGAGAGCAGAGCGUUUGUGAACAUAGGUAUUAUUCUGGCUGAGAUUACAUGGUUUUUUGUUGAAUUCCACUGGUGCAGGCUUGGAAUCAGUAGCAGGUGUGUGUUGUAAAAUUCUCGGCAGAUUUGACAGGCUUGGUCUUGAAUGAGUGGUAGGUGUGUUGUGUUGCAAAGUUCUCAACAGGUUUGGUCUUGAAAUGAAUGACAUAAUAUAAGAAUUUUUGGGUGUGUGGUCUUCAGGUGUGUUGCCCAGUCAGAUUCUCGCAGGUUUGGUCUUGAAAUGAAUGCCAGAUGUGUUCUCGUAAAAUUCUCAAAGGUGUGGUCUUGAAAUAAUUAGCUGAAUUUUUUUGCAGUAAAAUUCUCGUAGGUUUGGUCUUCAAAUGAAUGCCAGAUGUGUUGCCUUGUAAAAUUCUUGCAGGUGUGGUCUUGAAAUGAAUGAUGAAAUUCUGACUUGUCUUGAAAUGAAUUGUCUUUUAAAAUUCUAAAUUCUUGGAGGUUUGGUCUUGAAAUGAAUGAUAAGCGUGUAUUGCAGUAAAAUUUCUGAAGGCGUGAUCUUGAAAUGAAUGAAAAUGUGUUGUCCAUUAAAAUCAUCACAGGUGUGGUCUUGAAAUGAAUACCAGUGUGUUGUCUAAUAAAGUUUUCAGUCUCCGUAACCCAUUCAGUACUGGGAUACAUUUUUUACCUUGAAUUUUGGGUGUGACUAAACAAUUUUAUCGACAUUAAGAAAGGUCCAUGGAGGUCAGAAGAUUAAUGGCCAGUCUUCACUAUUUUUAAUCCCCCACACAAGUUUCUGCAGCUGUAAAAAAUCAUCAAAUACUAAGCAGAAUGAAUAUGAAAAUGAAUCAUUGUACUGAAGGGGUUAAGUCAGUGCCCUGUGUGUCAAGUCCAAUAAAAUUCAGUCUUAAAAGCAUCAAAUUACACAGUGUGGCCUUGAAAUGCAUGACCUGUGUGUUGUAGUGUAAAAUCCAUCUUUAAAUAUCCUUACAACACCAUGUGGAAACCAAGAACCUGUGUUGUAUUGCAAAGUUCUCAUUCUUAGAGCUAGUGUCAUACAAUUUCAAGUUAGCAUUGUGUCCUCUUUGAUAUGUUACAGGAUGCUAUUAAGAUUUUGUGGCUUAAAGGUAUUUCUCUCCUCUAAGUGUGAUAAAGAAAGAUGGGAUGAGAAGGCAGGAAGGCAGAAUGGAUGAAAGUGUGAUGAUAAAGAUAAGGGGAGAAGGGAGAAGGCAGAGAGAUAGGAAGAAUGGAUGAAAAGUAGGCAAAGAAAGGAUAGACAAGGGAGGAAGGGAGGGAAAUGAAAGGAAUAAGUGCAGAAGUUAUUUAGCUAUGGAGGGUGAUGUGAAAGUUUGCAUGUUUGUAAAGGAAAUAUAUAUGAAAAGAUGUGCAUUAGAAAAGGUGCUAAUAUAACAUGUUUCUUAUAAUAAUCAGCUGUGUGUGUGAAUUCAGUGGUAAAGAAAAUGUACAUGUAAAAGUGUCAAUAUGUACAGUCAUGCUAUUUAGUGUUACUUCUACUUCUGUCACUGCCACUUCUACUUCUACUUCUACCACUGCUACUUUAUUUCUAUCACUGCUACUUCUACCACAUGUACCACUUCUAUUUCUACCACAUCUACCACUUCUAUUUCUACCACAUCUACCACUACUACUACUACUACUACUACUACUACUACUACUACUACUACUACUACUACUACUACUACUACUACUACUACUACUACUACUACUACUACUACUGUACUUAUUCUUUUCUCCUUUUUCUACCACCCCUACCACCACCACCAAACACUUAACAUUAUUGAAAGACUGAAAGUAUAUUUAGAUUUGCUGUUACCAAUAUCUCUUCCUAACAUGACUUCUACAGUAGUACAUGCAAAGGUGUAUUUCAAGGCUUGUGAUCGUAUAUAUGUAUGUAUGUAUGUGUAUGUAUGUAUGUAGGCAACCUUAUUCCCGGGAACGUAUUCAGAAGCAUGUACAGUACCUCCAGUACCUUCAAAGUGCUCUAUAUUGAUGCUACACAGGUUUCUAAGGGUGUUUUUAAGGCUCCAGUGACAGAUUAGCAAGAUUUCUCCCUUAUGAAUUGGAGAAACUGUCUUGAGAAUGUGGCUAAUCAUCUCUGUGGCCUUCGAAAAUAGUGGUGAGAGAGCAGAGCAUGUGUGUGUGUGUGUGUUGUGUAGGGGAUCGAGUGUAAGUUGGAUAUAUGCAUUCUAAGAGCAAUAAAGUAUAUAUAUGAGUUCA